GAGACAGCAGCCGCCGCGGUAAUACGUAGGGUGCAAGCGUUAAUCGGAAUUACUGGGCGUAAAGCGUGCGCAGGCGGUUUGUUAAGACAGAUGUGAAAUCCCCGGGCUUAACCUGGGAAUGGCAGUGGAUACUAGCAAGCUAGAGUGUGUCAGAGGAUGGUGGAAUUCCCGGUGUAGCGGUGAAAUGCGUAGAGAUCGGGAGGAACAUCAGUGGCGAAGGCGGCCAUCUGGGACAACACUGACGCUGAGGCACGAAAGCGUGGGGAGCAAACAGGAUUAGAGACCCGCGUAGUCCCUGUCUCUUAUAC
rnacentral:rRNA from 1 species